UGGAGACACAAGGUAAAAACGGAGAGCUACGAACCUGAGCAAAUGGUAUGUACACCUCCAAAACAGUGAGAGGCCAAAAGGAGGACUACACAUUUUUAUGGGACAGGAAAGAAGGAGAAAUAACAUCAGGUAAGGGAGUCUCACGGAGUUCCCCAAGCCUUUAGUUCGUCAUUUCCAAUUAAUAUCAUGGCCUGCAAGUAACAACUCUUGGCAGAGUACUGAUCUGACUGUUGUUAAAUGAAGCCUUCAUUGACUGUCACCUACUCAAGUGUGAUGAAAUUAAAAC
rnacentral:lncRNA from 1 species